GCGUCGGUGGUGCCAAGGUUAGAGCACGCUCCCCUGAUAGAGUGAAAUGCGGGUUCAAGUCCCGCCUAGCGCA